rnacentral:rRNA from 1 species
GACGUAGGGCGCGAGCGUUGUCCGGAUUUAUUGGGCGUAAAGAGCCUCGUAGGCGGCUUGUCGCGUCGAAUGUGAAAUCUCGGGGCUCAACUCCGAGCUUGCAUUCGAUACGGGCAGGCUAGAGUUCGGUAGGGGAGACUGGAAUUCCUGGUGUAGCGGUGAAAUGCGCAGAUAUCAGGAGGAACACCGGUGGCGAAGGCGGGUCUCUGGGCCGAUACUGACGCUGAGGAGCGAAAGCGUGGGGAGCGAACAGG